rnacentral:rRNA from 1 species
CAGUAGCCGCGGUAAUACAGAGGGUGCAAGCGUUAAUCGGAAUUACUGGGCGUAAAGUGCGCGUAGGUGGUUUGUUAAGUUGGAUGUGAAAUCCCCGGGCUCAACCUGGGAACUGCAUCCAAAACUGGCAAGCUAGAGUAUGGUAGAGGGUGGUGGAAUUUCCUGUGUAGCGGUGAAAUGCGUAGAUAUAGGAAGGAACACCAGUGGCGAAGGCGACCACCUGGACUGAUACUGACACUGAGGUGCGAAAGCGUGGGGAGCAAACAGGAUUAGAUACCCCUGUAGUCCCUGUCUCUUAUAA